AGGACGAACGCUGGCGGCGCGCUUAACACAUGCAAGUCGAGCGAGCACCAGUCCUUCGGGACUGGGGACAGCGGCGAACGGGUGAGUAACACGUGGGUAAUCUGCCCUCGAUUCUGGGAUAGCCCGGGGAAACCCGGAUUAAUACCGGAUAGCCUCUCGAGCUUUCGAGCUUGUGAGAAAAGGUAGCUUCGGCCUCCGAUCGAGGAUGAGCCCGCGGCGGAUUAGCUUGUUGGUGGGGUAAUGGCCUACCAAGGCGACGAUCCGUAGCUGGUCUGAGAGGACGAUCAGCCACACUGGGACUGAGACACGGCCCAGACUCCUACGGGAGGCAGCAGUGGGGAAUCUUGCGCAAUGGGCGAAAGCCUGACGCAGCGACGCCGCGUGAGGGAUGACGGCCUUCGGGUUGUAAACCUCUUUCAGCCCUGACGAAGCGAAAGUGACGGUAGGGCGAGAAGAAGCACCGGCCAACUACGUGCCAGCAGCCGC
rnacentral:rRNA from 1 species